GUUUACAGCUAGCUCUCUGCAACUCUCACAUGGUCGCCCACUGAACCUAAGCAGGGUUGCGCCCGGUCAGUACCUGGAUGGGAGACCACAUGGGAAAGGUAGGUUGCUGCCUGAAGU
ensembl:rRNA 5S_rRNA 5S ribosomal RNA